rnacentral:lncRNA from 1 species
CAUUUCAUAAUAGCUCUUCUUUGGUGACAUUGGAUCUUAGAAAGAAUAAGUUCACUGGAAGCAUCCCUCAAUGGAUUGGCAAUCUAUCAAGCAUGAGCAUUAUUCUUCUCAGAGAUAACCAUUUUGAAGGUAGAAUCCCUCACCAAUUUUGUGAGAUGAAAAAACUAAGCAUGAUAGACCUUUCUUUUAAUAGUCUUUCGGGUCAAAUUCCGUUUUGCUUCAGUAACUUAACGCUAGAGGUAACCAAGAAGAAGUCUGUAUUGGUUGUGGAAUUUGACAGCUCUUCAAUUUCCUCAUUCAUUUCUUAUAUGGAUAAGGUUGAGUUAGAAAGGGACUAUCACGUGUCUUUCCAAAAAACUGAAGAUUUCAAAUUAACUGAUGUGCCAAUUACAGUGACAUUCGUGACAAAGGGAAAUUCUUAUUCGUACAAAGGUAGCAUCCUCAGUUAUAUGUCAGGAAUUGAUCUCUCUUCUAAUAAAUUACACGGUGAAAUUCCGGAUGGCCUUGGAAAGUUAAGUGAGAUCCAUGCACUCAACUUUUCCCACAACAAUCUUACUGGAACAAUUCCAGCAACUUUCUCAAACUUACUCCAGUUAGAGAGCUUAGAUCUCUCCUAUAACAACUUAGGUGGAAGGAUCCCCACUGGUUUGAGCGAGUUAAAUGCUUUAGCAGUCUUCAGUGUGGCUCAUAACAAUCUAACAGGUAUGAUACCAGAGAAAGGUCAGUUUGGAACCUUUGAUGAAGGUAGCUAUCAGGGAAAUCCUUAUCUUUGUGGUCGUCCAUUACCUGUUGAUUGCACUAGCACUGGACCAAAACCAGUCCUGCCAUCUGCUGAUGAUGAAAGUGAGGAGCAUGGUUUCAUGGACAUGGAGUUCUUCUACAUAAGCUUCGUCAUAGUUCACUGGAAGCAUCCCUCAAUGGAUUGGCAAUCUAUCAAGCAUGAGCAUUAUUCUUCUCAGAGAUAACCAUUUUGAAGGUAGAAUCCCUCACCAAUUUUGUGAGAUGAAAAAACUAAGCAUGAUAGACCUUUCUUUUAAUAGUCUUUCGGGUCAAAUUCCGUUUUGCUUCAGUAACUUAACGCUAGAGGUAACCAAGAAGAAGUCUGUAUUGGUUGUGGAAUUUGACA